AAAAUAGGUCUCGCACAUACUUUAUAUUUGUUUUGCCUAUUAAAAGUAUGUCCCGCAUUUAUACCUCACCCGCAAGUUACCGGCUGAAAAACAAACAUGGUGGGUAACGUUCCGGAGGUUGAUGCUGCAGAAAUAUAAGCAAUAUUUUGGAUUUCAAGCAUCGAAACCGUAUGUUGUUGAAUGGCGGAUAUUCUCCUGGAUCAACGAGGAAAAAAUAGCAUCUGAAGCCCGAUAGAAGUCGUAAGGCGUUUCUAUGACUGGAAAAUUUGAUUAGUAUUUUGUGAUUCGGUGUUGCAAGCGGUACGUCUUGGAUUAAAAACAGCAGAUGCCCGAUCGACGCUGCUGUCCUGCGGAAAUCUUAGAUUGUGAUAAUUCGGAGUCCGGCCGAUUCGGCGAAUUGCCCAGCGAAGCAGCAGCUGCUAAAGUGUACCAACAGUCAUCUCCGACGAUAAAAUUUUCCAUUGGACAAUGAGCGAUUUUCAAUUUAUAUACCCACGAAAAGGAACAGCUGAUAAUUUUGUUUCGUACUUUCCUGUCUCUGAAGGCCUCGAGGUCGUGGCUGGUUGGGUUCAUAUCUCAGCUGACAUGUAACCUGUGUUUAUACUAUAUAAUGAAAUACAU